GUGGAUUAGAUACCCGAGUAGUCCUGGCUGUAAACGGUGCGCGCUUGGUGUGGGAUGGUUUGACCUAUCCUGUGCCGGAGCAAACGCGUUAAGCGCGCCGCCUGGGAAGUACGAUCGCAAGAUUAAAACUCAAAGAAAUUGACGGGGACCCGCACAAGCGGUGGAGUAUGUGGCUUAAUUCGAUGCAACGCGAAGAACCUUACCUGGGCUCGACAUGCAUCUCUAAUCGCGUGAAAGCGCGAGAUUGGGGAAACCCAAAAUUUGCACAGGUGCUGCACGGUCGUCGUCAACU
rnacentral:rRNA from 1 species